UUGACAUGAUUUAAAAUCAUAAGGCCCCAUGGGCCCAAACGACUGACGUUGACAUAGAGUUCGUGGAUCCUCCGGCGGGCACGCGCCAACCACGUGGGUCGGCGGCGGGACGUCCCGACCCCGUAUGGGGAGGGACGCCCGACGGCCCGCCAAAGCAACAGACUAGGUAUACAAAGGGUUGAGGGUGCGGACCGAAGUCCAACUCUCGGUAAUGAUCCUUCCGCAGGUUCACCUACGGAAA
rnacentral:misc_RNA from 1 species